rnacentral:rRNA from 1 species
UACGUAGGGGGCUAGCGUUGUCCGGAAUCAUUGGGCGUAAAGAGCGUGUAGGCGGCCCGGUAAGUCCGCUGUAAAAGUCCAGGGCUCAACCCUGGAACGCCGGUGGAUACUGUCGGGCUAGAGUCCGGAAGAGGCGAGUGGAAUUCCUGGUGUAGCGGUGGAAUGCGCAGAUAUCAGGAGGAACACCGAUGGCGAAGGCAGCUCGCUGGGACGGUACUGACGCUGAGGCGCGAAAGCGUGGGGAGCGAACAGG